rnacentral:lncRNA from 1 species
GCGCUGUAGAGGGAAAGUGACGAGCCGCCCUUCAUUGUCAGCCAGGAACGCGGACACAGCGGCGCUCCCACCCAGCUGCAGUGGAUCCUUAGGCCGCCGAGAUGGCAGCUGCCGGCGCCCGAGGCCUGCGGGCCACCUACCACCGACUCAUGGAUAAAGUGGAGUUGUUGCUGCCAAAGAAAUUGAGGCCGCUAUACAACCACCCGGCAGGCCCCAGAACAGUUUUUUUCUGGGCUCCGAUAAUGAAGUGGGGAUUGGUAUGUGCUGGAUUAGCUGACAUGGCCAGACCUGCAGAGAAACUCAGCACAGCUCAAUCCACUGUGCUGAUGGCUACAGAUAUAAUCAAGAACUCAAAUCUAAAGGAAUCCAGUAAGAGAGUUCCUGAUCACCUGAACAUUCUAGAUGUGGACAGAAACAUUGAAACCUAGUGUAUUUGAUUACUGAUAAGGUGAUGCUAAUAUUCUGAUAACAUUUGAAAAGAACGAAAACAAAAUCUAACUGUAAUUAAUAGCUAGCACUUGACUUCACAAAAAAAAAAUAAAUAAAGCAAACUUUUAGUAACAGUCUGUCUUUACAUAUGCCUCAAGGAACUGUGGAUAGCACCAACGUUGUUUUCUACCCUUUGUCCAUAAUAAAUCCUACUUGGUCAUACGUCCCUCCAGCUUUAUCUUUUAGUUAAGCAAAAUGUAAGAGCAAACACAUUCAAGCAAACAGAAACAUGGUCAAAGGGUUAAAAACUCUGUUCACUAGUGUGGGAUGGUCGAGUGGCUGCAAAUGGAAGGACAGAAUGUCCAAGGGCGAAAGAGACACAGUAGAAUGACUAGCAAAAUGGAUUAAACUGUGUUAAAACAUUC